rnacentral:lncRNA from 1 species
GCAUUUUAUAAGUGAAUUCCUGUAAGUUGUUCACUGCCAAUAGCCCCCGAUUGAUAGCAGUUGCUACAUUGCAAUUUUGUUUGUAAUUCAUUGCUUGCCGGGUACUCUUUGGUGUUUAUGUUCUCUGUCUGCCUAGUAUGAUUAUGUUCAGGUAUUAAGGGUUAUGAAUCGUCAAAAAAAUGUAAUUGGAAUAUUUACAUCGUUUAAUGACCAAUAGAUAUGUAGGCAGACAAUUGUGCUUAUUUCCUAGUUUCAGACAUCAAUGCCUCAAAUUAAGAUAAAAAUUGUCGACAAAACAAUCUUUCAUUGCUUCCUGUAUAUAGAGCAUGCAUAAAUAUGCUCGACAGUUGGCAACAAAUUCCUCUUUCAAAAUUUUAUCCUUCCAACUAACACUAAUAUGGCACCCAUUGUACUGUUUUCUCGCUUCUUACCUGGAUGCUUCGAUAUUGUAAUUUAUUUUGGUCGGACUAGAACAAUACUUCCAUGUUCAAUAAAUUUCAGUUUUGUGAAAGUUGGCGACACAUAAACUGUAUGCUAAACUGCGCUUCUGAAUGUCAGUUUUUAUGCUUUUGCCCAACACUAAUAAUGCACAAUUUGCAUUCAUUUCCAGCUUCGUACCAUUGUGCUUCUACAUUGUACAGUGGGUUUAGUCCAUAUGCCUUCUGAUACGUCUCCAAUGUAUCUACUUUUCCAAACACUUUUGCCCUUGUUUUGGACUCUAAUUUGCAUGAUUUGAAUUGAACUAACCCGGACUGACGCUGUUUUCAGCAGAACUGCCAUGGUGUUAUUUUUGUGCAGAAACAGAAGUUCUCGGAAUGACCUGAAAAUCCACGGAGAUUACUUUUGGAAAAUAUAGAAAAUACUAGUGAAAGAAUCAAGGCCAGGGGGCCCACACCCUGUCCACGAGGGUGGGGGCGCGUCUCCUCCCCCUGGGCAUGCCCCCUGCCUCGUGGCCCCCUGGAUGUCCACCGACCUCAACUCCAACUCUAUAUAUUUGCUUUCACGGAGAAAAAAAUGGAGAGAAAGUUUCAUCGCGUUUUACGAUACGAGCCGCCGCCAAGCCCUAAUAUCUCUCGGGAGGGCUGAUCUGGAGUCCAUUCAGGGCUCCGGAGAGGGGGAUUCGUCGUCGUCGUCAUCAUCAACCAUCCUCCAUCACCAAUUUUCUGAUGCUCACCGCCGUGCGUGAGUAAUUCCAUUGUAGGCUUGCUGGACGGUGAUGGGUUGGAUGAGAUUUACCAUGUAAUCAAGUUAGUUUUGUUAGGGUUUGAUCCCUAGUAUCCACUAUGUUCUGAGAUUGAUGUUGCUAUGACUUUGCUAUGCUUAAUGCUUGUCACUAGGGCCCGAGUGCCAUGAUUUCAUAUCAAAACCUAUUAUGUUUUCAUGAAUAUAUGUGAGUUAUUGAUCCUAUCUUGCAAGUCUAUAGUCACCUAUUAUGUGUUAUGAUCCGACAACCCCGAAGUGACAAUAAUCGGGAUACUUCUCGGUGAUGACCAUAGUUUGAGGAGUUCAUGUGUUCACUAUGUGUUAAUGCUUUGGUCCGGUACUCUAUUAAAAGGAGGCCUUAAUAUCCCUUAGUUUCCAUUAGGACCCCGCUGCCANNNNNNNNNNNNNNNNNNNNNNNNNNNNNNNNNNNNNNNNNNNNNNNNNNNNNNNNNNNNNNNNNNNNNNNNNNNNNNNNNNNNNNNNNNNNNNNNNNNNNNNNNNNNNNNNNNNNNNNNNNNNNNNNNNNNNNNNNNNNNNNNNNNNNNNNNNNNNNNNNNNNNNNNNNNNNNNNNNNNNNNNNNNNNNNNNNNNNNNNNNNNNNNNNNNNNNNNNNNNNNNNNNNNNNNNAAAAGAUGUCAUGUAAGUUCUUUUCCAUAAGCACGUAUGACUAUAUUCAGAAUACAUGCCUACAUUACAUUGAUGAACUGGAGCUAGUUCUGUGUCACCCUAUGUUAUAACUAUUACAUGAGGAAUCACAUCCGACAUAGUUAUCCAUCACUAAUCCAAUGCCCACAAGCUUUUCACAUAUUGUGCUUUGCUUAUUUACUUUUCCGUUGCUACUGUUACAAUUACUACAAAACUACUACCAUUACUUUUGCCACUGUUACCAUUACUAUCAUACUACUUUGCUACUAAAUACUUUGCUACAGAUACUAAGUUAUCCAGGUGUGGUUGAAUUGACAACUCAACUGCUAAUACUUGAGAAUAUUCUUUGGCUCCCCUUGUGUCGAAUCAAUAAAUUUGGGUUGAAUACUCUACCCUCGAAAACUGUUGGGAUCCCCUAUACUUGUAAGUUAUCAAGACUAUUUUCUGGCACCAUUGCCGGGGAGCAUAGCUCUAUUCUUUGAGUCACUUGGGAUUUAUAUCUGCUGAUCACUAUGAGGAACUUGAAAGACGAAAGAACUAAGAUUUUUCCCUCAACUAUGAGGGGAGGUAAGGAACUGCCAUCUAGCUCUGCACUAGAUUCUCCUUCUAUUUUGAGUAAGCUUGCGACACCUAAACCUGCUAAUGCUAUGAAUUCUGAUAUGUCGCAUGUUAUUGAUGAUGCCACUUCUGCUAUGCAUGAUACUUAUGAUGAAACUACUUCUAUGCUUGAUACUACUAUGCCAUUAGGUGAAUAUCUUGAUGAACAACUUGCAAGGGUUAGAGAGAAUGAAAUUAUUGAAGAUGAUAUUAUUGAAGAUAGUGAUGAUGAAGGUUCUCCCCUAAGUAUGAAUUGCAUGUUGUUCCUGAGGGUUAUGUUAUGGAUGAAGAAGCUGCUAGAGCUAUUCUUGCUUGCAAUGAUAGAUCUGAUCUUAAGAAGUUAUUAGCUAAAUGGAAGCAGCAAUCUCUGAAUGCUAGAAUGAAAUAUGACCCUGCUUUUGCUACUUCACCUAUCCUUGUUACUGAUAAGGAUUAUGAAUUCUCUGUUGAUCCUGAGAUAAUUACUUUGGUUGAAUCUGAUCCUUUCUAUGGCUAUGAAUCUGAAACUGUUGUGGCACAUCUUACUAAGUUAAAUGAUAUAGCCACCCUGUUCACUAAUGAUGAGAAAUCUCGCUACUAUUAUAUCCUUAAGAUAUUUCCGUUCUCAUUAAAGGGUGAUGCUAAAACUUGGUUUAAUUCUCUUGAUCCUGGUUGUGUGCGUAGUCCCCAGGAUAUGAUUUAUUACUUCCCUGCUAAAUAUUUACCUGCUCAUAAGAAACAAGCUGCCUGGAGGGAAAUAUAUAAUUUUGUGCAAAUUGAAGAAGAGAGUCUCCCACAAGCUUGGGAGAGGCUUCUCCGGUUACUUAAUGCUUUGCCUGAUCAUCCUCUUGAGAAAAAUGAAAUACUUGAUAUCUUUUAUAAUGGACUAACCGAUGCUUCCAAGGACCACUUGGAUAGUUGUGCUGGUUGUGUUUUCAGGGAAAGAACAGUCGACCAAGCUGAAUUGUUAUUGAAUAAUAUGUUGACUAAUGAAAAUAAUUGGACUCUUCCGGAGCCAAUGCCUGAGGCAAUUGAGCCAACUACUGAGCCAAUUCCUAAGCCAGCUCCUAAACCAAUUCCGAAGAAGAGGGGUGUUCUAUUUCUCAGUCCUGAAAAUAUGCAAGAGGCAAAGAAAUCUAUGAAAGAGAAAGAUAUUAAAGCUGAAGAUGUUAAGAAUUUACCUCCUAUUGAAGAAAUACAUGGUCUUAAUAUACCGCCUGUCGAAGAAACACAUUGUCUUGAUAACCCGACACAUGUAGUAAAGGUAAAUUCUCUCUAUAGAUAUGAUAAAGUUGAAAUCCCGUCUACUAAGUUUCCUAGCCAAUGUUUAGAUGAAUUUGAUGACUUUAUGGCUAGACAAGAAAGUUUUAAUGCUUAUGUUGGUAGAGAAUUAAAGAGUAAUGCUUACAUGAUUGGACGCUUGAGUAAUUAUAUGGCUAGAGUUAAAGGUGAACUUAAGCUCAUUAGCAAAUAUGCUUCUAUGGUUACCACUCAAGCAGAACAAGUACUUAAAGCUCAAAGUGAUUUGCUCGAUGAAUUAAAUAAUAAACAUGACUUUGCUGUUAGAGUGACUUCUAGAACUGGUAGAAUGACUCAAGAACCUUUGUAUCCUGAAGGCCACCCUAAGAGAAUCGAGAAGGAUUCUCAGAGAAAUAAUGUAGAUGCACCUAGUCCUUCUAAAAAGAAGAAAAAAAAGAUAGGACUUUGCAUGCUUCUAGUGAAUCUGUGGUAGACACACCUGAGAAUCCCAAUGAUAUUUCUAUUUCUGAUGUUGAAACACAAUCUGGUGAUGAACAUGAACAUAGCGAUAAUGUUAAUGAUGGUUCAUGUUGAUGCUCAACCUAGCAAUAAUAAUGAUGUAGAGAUUGAACCUGCUGUUGAUCUUGAUAACCCAUAAUCAAAGAAUCAACGUUAUGAUAAGAGAGAUUUUGUUGCUAGGAACCACGGUAAAGAAAGAGAACCAUGGGUUCAGAAACCCAUGCCUUUUCCUCCGAAGUCAUCCAAGAAAAAGGAUGACGAGGAUUUUGAGCGCUUUGCUGAAAUGAUUAGACCUAUCUUCUUACGUACAUGCUUAACUAAUAUGCUUAAAGUGAACUCUUAUGCUAAAUAUAUGAAGGAUAUUAUUACAAAUAAAAGAAAGAUACCGGAAGCUGAAAUUUCCACCAUACUUGCUAAUUAUACUUUUAAAGGUGGAAUACCAAAUAAACUCGGAGACCCAGGAGUACCAACUAUACCAUGCUCCAUUAAAAGAAACUAUGUUAAAACUACUUUAUGUGAUCUUGGAGCCAGUGUUAGUGUUAUGCCUCUCUCUUUAUAUCAUAGACUUGAAUUGAAUAAGUUGACACCUACUGAAAUAUCUUUGCAAAUCGCUGAUAAAUCAACUGCUAUACCUGUCGGUAUUUGUGAGGACAUGCCUUUUGUGGUUGCAAAUGUCACUAUCUUAAAGGACUUUGUUAUUCUUGAUAUUCCUGAGGACGAUAGUAUGUCGAUUAUCCUUGGUAGACCCUUUUUGAAUACUGCAGGGGCUGUUAUUGAUUGCAACAGAGGCAAUGUUACUUUUUAUGUUAAUGGUAAUGAGCAUACGAUACAAUUUCCGAGGAAACAACCUCAAGUCCAUAGCAUCAAUUCUAUUGGAAAUAUUCCAACUAUCACUAUUGGAGGUUUUGAAUUUCCUCUUCCUACUGUCAAGAAAAAUAUAUGAUAUUCUUAUUAUUGGGGAUGUUCAUAUCCCCGUUGAGGUAACCUAGUGUUAUUCGAAAUUUCUCCGGUUCCAUGUUAUUCGGAAUGAGUUUGUUCACAAGACUUGAUCAACCUUGUUAGUGGAUUCCUUUUGAUGAUCAUGAGAUGGAUGAAACUAUAAGGCACAACCUUCUGUACCCUUUUUUACUUUCUGUUACUUAGAAUAAAAAUAAAGCAAAAAAAGUAUUAUCUGUCUGUUUUCUGAAUUAUCCAUGCAAUAAAAAAUACCCAAGAAUAAAAAUUAUCCAAAUGCCCUGCGAAUUUAGUAUGAUUUUUAUGGAAUAUUUGAGGAUUUUAGGCACUGAGAACACAGCAGGGGGGUAAGCACCUGGCCACGAGGGUCCAGGGCGCGCCCCCUGCCUCGUGGGCCCACGGUGGCCCCCCUUCACUUAUUACUGCACCCACACACUCCAUCUUCCUUCCAAAAAAUUCCCCAUCCAGCUCAAGCACGAGUUCUAGCUCAUUUUGCUGUGAUUUUCGAUCUCCUUGCUCAAAGCUCCAUUCACAAAACUGCUUUGGGAGAUUGUUCCUUGGUAUGUGCUACCUCUUGAGCACUGCGUUGGAUUUCCCCGAAGAGGAGAGGAUGAUGCAGCAAAGUAGCGUAAGUAUUUCCCUCAGUUUUUGAGAACCAAGGUAUGAAUCCAGUAGGAGACCACGCACAAGUCCCUCGUACCUACACAAAACGAUAGCAACUCGCAGCCAACGCUUAGGGGUUGUCAAUCCCUUCACGGUCACUUACGAGAGUGAGAUCUGAUAGAGAUAAUAUGUUUGGUAUUUUUGAUAGAUAAAUGCAAAGUAAAAAAGUAAAAGGGCAAAGUAAAAACAAAGCAAGUAAAUAAAGUGAUAGAGAUUGAUAUGAUGAGAAUAGACCCGGGGGCCAUAGGUUUCACUAGUGGCUUCUCUCAAGAGCAUAAGUAUUCUACGGUGGGUGAACAAAUUACUGUUGAGCAAUUGACAGAAUUGAGCAUAGUUAUGAGUAUAUCUAGGGAAUGAUCAUGUAUAUAGGCAUCACGUCCAAAACAAGUAGAUCGAAACGAUUCUGCAUCUACUACUAUUACUCCACUCAUCGAUCGCUAUCCAGCAAGCAUCUAGAGUAUUAAGUUAAAAACAGAGUAACUCCGUAAGCAAGAUGACAUGAUGUAGAGGGAUAAAUUCAUGCAAUAUGAUAAAAACCCCAUCUUGUUAUCCUCGAUGGAAACAAUACAAUACAUUCCUUGCAACCCUUUCUGUCACUAUGUAAGGACACCGCAAGAUUGAACCCAAAGCUAAGCACUUCUCCCAUUGCAAGAACUACCAAUCUAGUUGGCCAAACCAAAAAGGAUAAUUCGAAGAGACUUGCAAAGAUAACUCAAUCAUACAUAAAAGAAUUCAGAGAAGAAUGAAAUAUUUUCCAUAGAUAAUACUGGAUCAUAAACCCACAAUUCAUCGGUCUCAACAAACACACCUCAAAAAGAAGAUUACAUCGAAUAGAUCUCCACGAGAGAGGGGGAGAACAUUGUAUUGAGAUCCAAAAAGAGAGAAGAAGCCAUCUAGCUACUAGCUAUGGACCCGAAGGUCUGAAGUAAACUACUCACACUUCACCGGAGGGGCUAUGGUGAUGAUGUAGAAGCCCUCCAUGGUGGAUGCCCCCUCCGGCGGAGCUCCGGAACAGGCCCCAAGAUGGGAUCUCGUGGAUACAGAAGGUUGCGGCGGUGGAAUUAGGUUUUUGGCUCCUGUUUUGAUCGUACGAGGAUACGUAGGUAUAUAUUGUUGGGGAACGUAGCAGAAAUUCAAAAUUUUCCUACGUGUCACCAAGAUCUAUCUAUGGAGAAACUAGCAACGAGGGGAAGGAGAGUGCAUCUACAUACCCUUGUAGAUCGCUAAGUGGAAGCGUUCAAGUGAACGGGGUUGAUGGAGUCGUACUCGUCGUGAUUCAAAUCACCGAUGAUCAAGUGCCGAACGCACGGCACCUCCGCGUUCAACACACGUACAGCCCGGUGACAUCUCCCAUGCCUUGAUCCAGCAAGGAGAGAGGGAGAGGUUGAGGAAGACUCCAUCCAGCAGCAGCACAAUGGCGUGGUGGUGGUGGAGGAGCGUGGCAAUCCCGCAGGGCUUCGCUAAGCACCAUGGGAGAGGAGGAGGAGGAGAGGCAGGGCUGCACCAACGAGAGGAGAAGUUCUCAUGUGUUAUGGGCAGCCCCAGGCCUCUAUUUAUAUAGGGGAGAAGGGGGCUGCGCCCCCUUUAGGGUUUCCCACCCCAAGGGGUGCGGCCAGCCCUAGAUGGGACUUGGGGAGGCGGCCAAGAGGGGAGAGAGGGGAGGCGCCCACUAGGUGGGCCUUAAGGCCCAUCUGGACUAGGGUUUGCCCCCUCCCACUCUCCCUUGCGCCUUGGCCCUCUUGUGGGGGGCGCACCAGCCCUCCUAGGGGCUGGUCCCCUCCCACACUUGGCCCACGCAACCUUCUGGGGCAGGUGGCCCCACUUGGUGGACCCCCCGGGACCCUCCCGGUGGUCCCAGUACAUUACCGAUAUCGCCCGAAACUUUUCCGGUGACCAAAACAGGACUUCCCAUAUAUAAAUCUUUACCCCCGGACCAUUCCGGAACUCCUCGUGACGUCCGGGAUCUCAUCCGGGACUCCGAACAACAUUCAGUAACCACAUACAAGCUUCCUUUAUAACCCUAGCGUCACUGAACCUUAAGUGUGUAGACCCUACGGGUUCGGGAGACAUGCAGACAUGACCGAGACGUUCUCUGGUCAAUAACCAACAGCGGGAUCUGGAUACCCAUGAUGGCUCCUACAUGUUCCACGAUGAUCUCAUCGGAUGAACCACGAUGUCAAGGACUUAAUCAAUCCCGUAUUCAAUUCCCUUUGUCUAUUGGUAUGUUACUUGCCCGAGAUUCGAUCGUCGGUAUCCAAUACCUUGUUCAAUCUCGUUACCGGCAAAUCACUUUACUCGUUCCGUAACACAUCAUCCCGUGAUCAACUCCUUGGUCACAUUGCGCAUAUGAUGAUGUCCUACCGAGUGGGCCCAGAGAUACCUCUCCGUUUACACGGAGUGACAAAUCCCAGUCUCGAUCCGCAUAAAACAAUAGUACUUUCAGAGAUACCUGUAGUGCACCUUUAUAGUCACCCAGUUACGUUGUGACGUUUGAUACACCCAAAGCACUCCUACGGUAUCCAGGAGUUACACGCUCUCAUGGUCAAAGGAAGAGAUACUUGACAUUGGCGAAGCUCUAGCAAACGAACUACACGAUCUUUGUGCUAGGCUUAGGAUUGGGUCUUGUCCCACAUCAUUCUCCUAAUGAUGUGAUCCCGUUAUCAACGACAUCCAAUGUCCAUAGCCAGGAAACCAUGACUAUCUGUUGAUCACAACGAGCUAGUCAACUAGAGGCUCACUAGGGACAUAUUGUGGUCUAUGUAUUCACACGUGUAUUACGAUUUCCGGAUAAUACAGUUAUAGCAUGAAUAAAAGACAAUUAUCAUGAACAAGGAAAUAUAAUAAUACUUUUAUUAUUGCCUCUAGGGCAUAUUUCCAACAGUCUCCCACUUGCACUAGAGUCAAUAAUCUAGUUCACAUCGUCAUGUGAUUAACACUCACAGGUCACAUCGCCAUGUGACUAAUACCCAAGAGUUUACUAGAGUCAGCAGUCUAGUUCACAUCACUAUGUGAUUAACACUCAAUGAGUUUUAUAUUUGAUCAUGUUGCUUGUGAGAGAGGUUUUUAGUCAACGGGUCUGAACCUUUCAGAUCCGUGCGUGCUUUACAAAUCUCUAUGUCAUCUCCUAGAUGCAGCUACCACGCUCUAUUUGGAGCCAUUCCAAAUAACUGUUCCACUUGGAGCUAUUCUAAAUUGUUGCCCCAUUAUAUGUAUCCGGUAUCUCUACUUAGAGCUAUCCGGAUAGGUGUUAAGCUUGCAUCGACGUAACCUUUACGACGAACUCUUUUACCACCUCCAUAAUCGAGAAAAUUCCUUAGUCCACUAGUUACUAAGGAUAACUUUGACCGCUGUCUGUGAUCCAUUCUUGGAUCACUCUUGUACCCCUUGACUAACUCAUGGCAAGGCACACUUUAGGUGCGGUACACAGCAUAGCAUACUGUAGAGCCUAUGUCUUAAGCAUAGGAGACGACCUUCGUCCUUUCUCUCUAUUCUGCCAUGGUCGAGCUUUAAGUCUUAACUUCAUACCUUACAACUCAGGCAAGAACUCCUUCUUUGACUGGUCCAUCUUGAACACCUUCAAGAUCAUGUCAAGGUAUGUGCUCAUUUGAAAGUACCAUUAAGUGUUUUGAUCUAUCCUUAUAGAUCUUGAUGCUUAAUGCUCAAGUAGCUUAAUCCAGGCUUUCCAGAAAUUCAUUUCUGAUCAUCAAUAUGUCAACAACAUAUACUCAGCAGAAAUUCUAUAGUGCUCCCACUCACUUCUUUGGAAAUACAAGUUUCUCAUAAACUUUGUAUACACCAAAAUCUUUGAUCAUCAUCAAAGCAUACAUUCCAACUCCGAGAUGCUCACUCCAGUCCUUAGAAGGAUUGCUGGAGUUUUGCAUAUUUAUUAGCAUCUUUCGGGAUUGACAAAACCUUCCGGUUGUAUCACAUACAACCUUUCCUCAAGAAAAUCGUCGAGGAAACAAUGUUUGGACAUCCUAUCUGCAAGAUUUCAUAAAUAAUGCAGUAAUCGCUAAUAUAAUUCCAACAGACUCUUAGCAUCGCUACGAGUGAGAAAGUCUCACCGUAGUCAACUCCUUGAACUUGUCAGAAAACAUCUUAACGACAAGUUGAGCUUUCUUAAUGGUGACAUUUACCAUUAUCGUCCGUCUUCCUUUUAAAAUCCAUAUGUACCUAACAGCCUUACGGCCAUCAAGUAGUUCUUCCAAAGUCUACACUUCGUUUUCGUACAUGGAUCCUCUCACGGAUUUUAUGGCCUUGAGCCAUUUAUCGGAAUCCAGGCCCACCAUCGCUUCUCCAUAGCUCGUAGGUUCAUUGUUGUCUAGCAACAUGACUUCCAAGACAGGAUUACGUACCACUCUGAAGUAGUACGCAUCCUUGUCAUCCCACGAGGUUUGGGAGUGACUUGAUCCGAAGUCUCAUGAUCAAUAUCAUAAGCUUCCACUUCAAUUGGUGUAGGUGACACGGGAACAACUUCUUGUGCCCUGCUACACACUGGUUGAAGUGAUGGUUCAAUAACCAUAUCAAGUCUCCACCAUCCUCCCACUCAACUCUUUCGAGAGAAACCUUUCCUCGAGAAAGGACCCGAUUCAAGAAACAAUCCAUAUUGCUUUCGGAUCUGAAUUAGGAGGUAUACCCAACUGUUUUGGGUGUCCGAUGAAGAUGUAUUUUAUCCGCUUUGGGUUCGAGCUUAUCAAUCCUGAAACUUUUUCACAUAAGCGUCGCAGCCCCAAACCUUUAAGAAACGACAACUUAGGUUUCUCUAAACGGUGUCGUCUCAACGGAAUUACGUGGUGCCCUAUUUAAAGUGAAUGUGGUUGUCUCUAAUGCCUAACCCAUGAACGAUAGUGGUAAUUCGAUAAGAGAAAUCAUGGUACGCAUCAUAUCCAAUAGGGUGCAACUAUGAUGUUCGGACACACCAUCACACUAUGGUGUUCUAGGCAGUAUUAAUUGCGAAACAAUUUCCACAAUGUCUUAAUUGUGUGCCAAAACUCGUAACUCAGAUACUCAUCUCUAUGAUCAUAUCAUAGACAUUUUAUCCUCUUGUCACAAUGAUCUUCUACUUCACUCUGAAAUUACUUGAACCAUUCAAUAAUUCAGACUUGUGUUUCAUCAAGUAAAUAUUCUCAACAUCUACUCGAAUCAUCUGUGAAGUAAGAACAUAACGAUAUUCACUGCAUGCCUCAGCACUCAUUGGACUGCACACAUCAAAAUGUGUUGCUUCCAACAAGUUGCUAUCUUGUUCCAUUUUACUGAAACCGAGGCUUUUCAGUCAUCUUGCCUAUGUGGUAUGAUUUGCAUAUCUCAAGUGAUCCAAAAUCAAGUGAGUCCAAACGAUCCAUCUGCAUGGAGUUUCUUCAUGCGUAUACACCAAUAGACAUGGUUCGCAUGUCUCAAACUUUUCAAAAAUGAGUGAGUCCAAAGAUCCAUCAACAUGGAGCUUCUUCAUGUGUUUUAAACCAAUAUGACUUACAUGGCAGUGCCACCAGUAAGUGGUACUAUCAUUACUAUCUUUUGGCAUGAAAAUGUGUAGCACUACGAUCGAGAUUCAAUAAACCAUUCCUUUAGGUGCAAGACCAUUGAAGGUAUUAUUCAAAUAAAUAGAGUAACUAUUAUUCUCCUUAAAUGAAUAACCGUAUUGCAAUAGACAUAAUCCAAUCAUGUCUAUGCUCAACGCAAACACCAAUCUCGGUGGUAGAGGGAGCGUGCGAUGCUUGAUCACAUCAACCUUAGAAACACUUCCAACACAUAUCGUCAGCUCACCUUUAGCUAGUCUCCUUUUAUUUCGUAGCUUUUAUUUCGAGUUACUAACACUUAGCAACCGAACCGGUAUCCUGUACCCUGGUGCUACUAGGAGUACUAGUAAAGUACACAUUAACAUAAUGUAUAUCCAAUAUACUUCUAUCGACCUUGCCAGCCUUCUCAUCUACCAAGUAUCUAGGGUAAUUCCGCUCUAGUGACUGUUCCCCUUAUUAUAGAAGCACUUAGUCUCGGGUUUGGGUUCAACCUUGGGUUUCUUCACUAGAGCAGCAGCUGAUUUGCUAUUUCAUGAAGUAUCCCUUCUUGCCCUUGCCCUUCUUGAAACUAGUGGUUUCACCAACCAUCAACAAUUGAUGCUCCUUCUUGAUUUCUACUUUCGCAGUGUCAAACAUCGCAAAUACCUCAAAGGAUCAUCAUAUCUAUCCCUGAUAUGUUAUAGUUCAUCACGAAGCUCUAGUAGCUUGGUGGCAAUGUCUUUGGAGAAACAUCACUAUCUCAUCUGGAAGAUCAACUCCCACUCGAUUCAAGUGAUUGUUGUGCUCAGACAAUCUGAGCACAAGCUCAACGAUUGAGCUUUUCUCCCUUAGUUUGCAGGCUAAGAAAAUCGUCGGAGGUCUUAUACCUCUUGACAUGGGCACGAGCCUGAAAUCCCAAUUUCAGCCCUCGAAGCAUCUCAUAUGUUUCGCGAUGUUUCGAAAACGUCUUUCGUGCCUCAACUCUAAACCGUUUAACUGAACUAUCACGUAGUUAUCAAGACGUGUAUGUCCGAUGUUCACAACAUCCACAAACGACGUUUGGGGUUCAGCAUACUGAGCGGUGCAUUAAGGACAUAAGCUUUCUACUGAUCGCAUAAUCGCUACUAUUAACUUCAACUAUAAUUUUCUCUAGGAACAUAUCUAAACAGUAGAACUAUAGCGCGAGCUACGACAUAAUUUGCAAAAGGUCUUUUGACUAUGUUCAGGAUAAUUAAGUUCAUCUUAUGAACUCUCACUCAGAUAGACAUCCCUCUGGUCAUCUAAGUGAUCACAUGAUCCGAGUCAACUAGGCCGUGUCCGAUCAUCACGUGAGACGGACUAGUCAUCAUCGGUGAACAUCUUCAUGUUGAUCGUAUCUGCUAUACGACUCAUGCUCGACCUUUCGGUCUCCGUGUUCCGAGGCCAUGUCUGCACAUGCUAGGCUCGUCAAGUUAACCCUAAGUGUUUUCGCUGUUUAAAACUGUCUUACACCCGUUGUAUGUGAACGUAAGAAUCCAUCACACCCGAUCAUCACGUGGUGCUUAGAAGCGACGAACUGUAGCAACGGUGCACAGUUAGGGGAGAACACUUCUUGAAAUUUUGUAAGGGAUCAUCUUAUUUACUACCGUCGUCCUAAGUAAACAAGAUGCAUAAUCAUAAUAAACAGCACAUGCAAUUAUAUAGUUGUGACAUGAUAUGGCCAAUAUCAUAUAGCUCCAUUGAUCUCCAUCUUCGGGGCUCCAUGAUCAUCUUGUCACCGGCUUGACACCAUGAUCUCCAUCAUCAUGAUCUCCAUCAUCGUGUAUUCAUGAAGUUGUCACGCCAACGACUACUUCUACUUCUAUGGCUAAUGCGUUUAGCAAUAAAGUAAAGUAAGUUACAUGGCGUUCUUCAAUGACACGCAGGUCAUACAAUAAAUUAAAGACAACUCCUAUGGCUCCUGCCGGUUGUCAUACUCAUCGACAUGCAAGUCGUGAAUCCUAUUACAAGAACAUGAUCAAUCUCAUACAUCACAUAUCAUUCAUCACAUUCUUCUGGCCAUAUCACAUCACAUAGCAUACCCUGCAAAAACAAGUUAGACGUCCUCUAAUUGUUGUUGCAUGUUUUACGUGGCUGCUAUGGGUUUCUAGCAAGAACGUUUCUUACCUACGCAAAACCACAACGUGAUAUGCCAAUUGCUAUUUACCCUUCAUAAGGACCCUUUUCAUCGAAUCCGUUCCGACUAAAGUGGGAGAGACUGGCACCCGCUAGCCACCUUAUGCACCAAGUGCAUGUCAAUCGGUGGAACCUGUCUCACUUAAGAGUACGUGUAAGGUUGGUCCGGGCCGCUUCAUCCCACAAUACCGUCGAAACAAGAUUGGACUAGUAACGGUAAGCAUAUUGAACAACAUCAACGCCCACAACUACUUUGUGUUCUACUUGUGCAAAGAAUCUACGCAAUAGACCUAGCUCAUGAUGCCACUGUUGGGGAACGUAGCAGAAAUUCAAAAUUUUCCUACGUGUCACCAAGAUCUAUCUAUGGAGAAACUAGCAACGAGGGGAAGGAUAGUGCAUCUACAUACCCUUGUAGAUCGCUAAGCGGAAGCGUUCAAGUGAACGGGGUUGAUGGAGUCAUACUCGUCGUGAUUCAAAUCACCGAUGAUCAAGUGCCGAACGCACGGCACCUCCGCGUUCAACACACGUACAGCCCGGUGACGUCUCCCAUGCCUUGAUCCAGCAAGGAGAGAGGGAGAGGUUGAGGAAGACUCCAUCCAGCAGCAGCACAAUGGCGUGGUGGUGGUGGAGGAGCGUGGCAAUCCCGCAGGGCUUCGCCAAGCACCAUGGGAGAGGAGGAGGAGGAGAGGCAGGGUUGCACCAACGAGAGGAGAAGUUCUCAUGUGUUAUGGGCAGCCCCAGGCCUCUAUUUAUAUAGGGGAGAAGGGGGCUGCGCCCCCUUUAGGUUUUCCCACCCCAAGGGGUGCAGCCAGCCCUAGAUGGGACUUGGGGAGGCGGCCAAGAGGGGAGAGAGGGGAGGCGCCCACUAGGUGGGCCUUAAGGCCCAUCUGGACUAGGGUUUGCCCCCUCCCACUCUCCCUUGCGCCUUGGCCCUCUUGUGGGGGGCGCACCAGCCCUCCUAGGGGCUGGUCCCCUCCCACACUUGGCCCACGCAACCUUCUGGGGCAGGUGGCCCCACUUGGUGGACCCCCCGGGACCCUCCCGGUGGUCCCAGUACAUUACCGACAUCGCCCGAAACUUUUCCGGUGACCAAUACAGGACUUCCCAUAUAUAAAUCUUUACCUCCGGACCAUUCCGGAACUCCUCGUGAUGUCCGGGAUCUCAUCCGGGACUCCGAACAACAUUCAGUAACCACAUACAAGCUUCCUUUAUAACCCUAGCGUCACCGAACCUUAAGUGUGUAGACCCUAUGGGUUCGGGAGACAUGCAGACAUGACCGAGACGUUCUCCGGUCAAUAACCAACAGCGGGAUCUGGAUACCCAUGAUGGCUCCUACAUGUUCCACGAUGAUCUCAUCGGAUGAACCACGAUGUCAAUGACUUAAUCAAUCCCGUAUUCAAUUCCCUUUGUCUAUCGGUAUGUUACUUGCCCGAGAUUCGAUCGUCGGUAUCCAAUACCUUGUUCAAUCUCGUUACCGGCAAGUCACUUUACUCGUUCCGUAACACAUCAUCCCGUGAUCAACUCCUUGGUCACAUUGCGCAUAUGAUGAUGUCCUACCGAGUGGGCCCAGAGAUACCUCUCCGUUUACAUGGAGUGACAAAUCCCAGUCUCGAUCCGCAUAAAACAAUAGAUACUUUCGGAGAUACCUGUAGUGCACCUUUAUAGUCACCCAGUUAUGUUGUGACGUUUGAUACACCCAAAGCACUCCUACGGUAUCCAGGAGUUACACGCUCUCAUGGUCAAAGGAAGAGAUACUUGACAUUGGCGAAGCUCUAGCAAACGAACUACAUGAUCUUUGUGCUAGGCUUAGGAUUGGGUCUUGUCCCACAUCAUUCUCCUAAUGAUGUGAUCCCGUUAUUAACGACAUCCAAUGUCCAUAGCCAGGAAACCAUGACUAUCUGUUGAUCACAACGAGCUAGUCAACUAGAGGCUCACUAGGGACAUAUUGUGGUCUAUGUAUUCACACGUGUAUUACGAUUUCCGGAUAAUACAGUUAUAGCAUGAAUAAAAGACAAUUUUCAUGAACACGGAAAUAUAAUAAUACUUUUAUUAUUGCCUCUAGGGCAUAUUUCCAACAUAUAUAGGAGGAAGGAGUACGUCGGUGGAGCGUCAGGGGGCCCACGAGGUAGGGGGCGCGCCCAGGGGGGCGCCCUCCACCCUCGUGACCGCCUCUGGCACUGCUUGGAGUAGGGUCCAAGUCUCCUGGAUCACGUUCAGUUGGAAAAUCACGUUCCCGAAGGUUUCAUUCUGUUUGGACUCCGUUUGAUAUUCCAUUUCUUCGAAACACUGAAAUAGGCAAAAAAACAGCAAUUCUGGGCUGGGCCUCCGGUUAAUAGGUUAGUCCCAAAAGUAAUAUAAAAGUGGAAAAUAAAGCCCAAUAUAGUCCAAAACAGUAGAUAAAGUAGCAUGGAGCAAUCAAAAAUUAUAGAUACGUUGGAGACGUAUCAGGCAUCCGCAAGCUUAAUUCUUGCUCGUCCUCGAGUAGGUAAAUGAUAAAAAAAGAAUUUUUGAUGCGGAGUGAUACUUUGGCAUAAUUUCAAUGUAAAUCUUCUUAAUUGUGAUAUGAAUAUUCAGAUCUGAAAGAUUCAAGACAAAAGUUCAUAUUGACACAAAAAUAAUAAUACUUCAAGCAUACUAAUCAAAGCAAUCAUGUCUUCUCAAAAUAACAUGGCAAAAGAAAGUUCAUCCCUACAAAAUCAUAUAGUUAGGCUAUGCUUCAUUUUCGUCACACAAAGAUGUUCCCAACUUCUAUACCCCCGAUGACAAUCCAAGCAAUUGUUUCAUACUUAAAUAAUCUCAAACUUUUUCAACUUUCACACAAUACAUGAGCGUGAGCCAUGGAUAUAGCACUAUGGGUGGAAUAGAAUAUGAUGAUGGGGAUUGUGUGGAGAAGACAAAAAAGGAGAAAGUCUCACGUUGACAAGGCUAACCAACGGGCUAUGGAUAUGCCCAUCAAUUGAUGUCAACAUGAGGAGUAGGGAUUGCCAUGCAACAGAUGCACUAGAGCUAUGAAUGCUCAACAAAAGAAAACUAGUGGGUGUGCAUCCAACUCGCUUGCUCAUGAAGACCUAGGGCAUUUGAGGAAGCCCAUCGUAGGAAUAUACAAGCCAAGUUCUAUAAUGAAAAAUUCCCACUAGUAUAAAAAGGACAACUUAUGAGACUCACUACAUGAAGAACAAGGUGCUACUUUGAAGCACAAUAUAUGAGACUCACUACAUGAAGAACAAGGUGCUACUUUGAAGCACAAGUGUGGAAAAAGAGAUAUUAGCAUUGCCUUUUUCUUUAUAUAUAUAUAUUUUAUUUUUUUGGGCCUUUCUUUUUUUUCUUUUGGCCUUUCUCUUUUUUUUAUUUGGGCAAUGCUCUAAUAAUGAUGAUCAUCACACUUCUAUUGAUUACAAUAUAAGGAUUACAACUCGAAACUUAGAACAAGAUAUGACUCUAUAUGAAUGCCUCCGGCGGUGUACCGGGAUGGUGCAAUGAAUCAAGAGUGACAUGUAUGGAAAAUAAUGCGUGGUGGCUUUGCCACAAAUACGAUGUCAACUACAUGAUCAUGCAAUGGCAAUAUGACAAAAGUAAUGUAUGUCAUGAUGAUGAUGAUGGUGGAAGUUGCAUGGCAAUAUAUCUCGGAAUGGCUAUGAAAAUGCCAUGAUAGGUAGGUAUGGUGGCUGUUUUGAGGAAGAUAUAAGGAGGUUUAUGUGUGAUAGAGCGUAUCGUAUCACGGGGUUUGGAUGCACCGGCGAAGUUUGCACCAACUCUCAAGGUGAGAAAGGGCAAUGCACGGUACCGAAGAGGCUAGCAAAGGCGGAAAGGUGAGAGUGUGUAUAAUCCAUGGACUCAACAUUAGUCAAAAGAACUCAUAUACUUAUUGCAAAAAUUUAGAAGUCAUCAAAAAUCAAGUACUACGCGCAUGCUCCUAGGGGGAUAGAUUGGUAGGAAAAGACCAUCACUCGUCCCCGACCGCCACUCAUAAGGAUGCACAAGCCAGGUACACUUCAUGUUUCAAAUUUGUUAUACAACUUUAACCAUACGUGCAUGCUACGGGACUUGCAAACUUCAACACAAGUAUUUCUCAAAUUCAUAAUCACCCAACUAGCACGACUUUGAUAUUAUCACCUCCAUAUCUCAAAAAAAUUAUCAAGCAUCAAACUUAUCUUAGUAUUCAACUCACUCAAAAGAAAGUUUCACAUAUCUUGAAUACCAAGUAUAUUAACAUUAAGCAAAUUACCAUGCUAUUAAUGACUCUCAAAAUAAUCUAAGUGAAGCAUGAGAGAGCAAUAGUUUCUUUAAAAAAAUCCACCACCGUGCUCUAAAAGAUAUAAGUGAAGCACUAGAGAAAAAAUUAUCACGCUCAAAAGAUAUAAGUGAAGCACAUAGAGCAAAACUAUCAAGCUCAAAAGAUAUAAGUGAAGCACAUAGAGUAUUCUAACAAAUUCCAAAUCAUGUAUGGCUCUCUCAAAAGGUGCGUACAACAAGGAUGAUUGUGGUAAACUAACAAGCAAAGACACAAAUAAUACAAGACGCUCCAAGCAAAACACAUAUCAUGUUGGUGAAUAAAAAUAUACCUCCAAGUAAAUUACUGAUGGAAGUGGACGAAAGAGGGGAUGCCUUCCGGGGCAUCCCCAAGCUUUGAAUUUUUGGUGUCCUUGGAUUAUCUUGGGGGUGCCAUGGUCAUCCCCAAGCUUAGGCUCUUGCCACUCCUUGUUCCAUAAUCCAUCAAAAGAAUUCACCCAAAACUUGAAAACUUCACAACACAAAACUCAACAGAAAUCUCGUGAGUUCCGUUAGAGAAAGAAAACAAAAGACUACUUCAAGGUACUGUAAUGAACUCAUUAUUUAUUUAUAUUGGUGUUAAACCUACUGUAUUCCAACUUCUCUAUGGUUUAUAAACUAUUUUACUAGCCAUAGAUUCAUCAAAAUAAGCAAACAACACACGAAAAACAGAAUCUGUCAAAAACAGAACAGUCUGUAGCAAUCUGUAAUUAACGCAAACUUCUGGAACUCUAAAAAUUCUACCAAAAUAGGAAGUCCUGUACAAUUUGUUUAUUGAACAGAAGCAAAAAGAAUCAACGCAAAAACACGUUCCUGUGAUUUAUCAUAAUUAAAUUCGUGCGCGCAAAAUUUCUGUUUUUCAGCAGAAUCAAAUCAACUAUCAUCGUAGGUUAUCCUAUAGGUUCUACUUGGCACAAACACUAAUUAAAACAUAAAAACACAUCCAAACAGAAGUUCGAUGGAUUAUUUAUUCCUAAACAGAAGCAAAAACAAAAAACACAAAAUAAAAUUGGGUUGCCUCCCAACAAGCGCUAUCGUUUAACGCCCCUAGCUAGGCAUUGAUAAUUUUAAUGAUGCUCACAAGAAAGACAAGAAUUGAAGCGCAAAGAGAGCAUCAUGACAUGACAAACACAUAUAAGUCUAACAUACUUCCUAUGCAUAGGCAUAUUAUAAGCAAACAAAUUUGCAAGGCAAACAAAAACUAGCAUAUGCAGGGAAUAAGAAAGAGACGAUAGCAAUCUCAACAUGACGAGAGGUAAUUUAGUAACAUGAAAAUUUCUACAACCAUAUUUUCCUCUCUCAUAAUAAUUACAUGUAGGAUCAUAAGCAAAUUCAACAAAAUAGCUAUCACAUACCAUAUUCUCAACACGAUCCACAUGCAUGCAAAGUUGACACUCUUCCAAGAUAGUGGGAUUAACAUUAGCUAGAGUCAUGACCUUUCCGAACCCACUUUUAUCAAAAAUAUCAUAAGAUUGAACAUACUCCAAAAAUGUGGGAUCUAAAGUUGACACUCUUCCAAACCCACUUUCAAUAUUAUUGCAAACAUUAUUAUCAAUCUCAUAUUCAUCAUGGGGCUUAAAUAAAUUUUUAAGGUUGUAAGAAGAAUCACCCCAAUCAUGAUCAUUGAAACAAGUAGUAGACAUAGCAAAACUAGCAUCCCCAAGCUUAGGGUUUUGCAUAUUAUUAGCACAAUUGACAUCAAGAGAAUUUAUAGGGAAAUCAUUGCAAUCAUGCUUUUUAUUCAAGGAGUUAUCGUGAAUCUCUUCAUAAAUUUCUUCAUCAUAAUUUUCAGAUUCACGAAUUUCAAGCAAAACCUCAUAAAGAUAAUCUAGUGCACUCAACUCACUAGCAAUAGGUUCAACAUAAUUGGAUCUCUUAAAGAGAUUAGCAAGUGGAUGAGGAUCCAUAAACUUUUAGCAAGCGAAGAUGCAAGCAGAAAAAGAAGGUACAUGGAGACACAAGAUCGAACGAAAGAGGUGCGAAUAAAACGACAAGGGUGAAGUGGGGGAGAGUAAAACGAGAGGCAAAUGGCAAAUAAUAUAAUGCGAGAGAUAGAGAUUGUGAUGGGUACUUGGCAUAGUUGACUUGCUUGUGUGAUCCUCCCCGGCAACGGCGCCAGAAAUUCUUCUUGCUACCUCUUGAGCACUGCGUUGGAUUUCCCCGAAGAGGAGAGGAUGAUGCAGCAAAGUAGCGUAAGUAUUUCCCUCAGUUUUUGAGAACCAAGGUAUGAAUCUAGUAGGAGACCACGCACAAGUCCCUCGUACCUACACAAAACGAUAGUAACUCGCAACCAACGCUUAGGGGUUGUCAAUCCCUUCACGGUCACUUACGAGAGUGAGAUCUGAUAGAGAUAAUAUUUUUGGUAUUUUUGAUAGAUAGAUGCAAAGUAAAAAAGUAAAAGGGCAAAGUAAAAACAAAGCAAGUAAAUAAAGUGAUAGAGAUUGAUAUGAUGAGAAUAGACCCGGGGGGCAUAGGUUUCACUAGUGGCUUCUUUCAAGAGCAUAAGUAUUCUACGGUGGGUGAACAAAUUACUGUUGAGCAAUUGAUAGAAUUGAGCAUAGUUAUGAGUAUAUCUAGGCAAUGAUCAUGUAUAUAGGCAUCACGUCCAAAACAAGUAGAUCGAAACGAUUCUGCAUCUACUACUAUUACUCCACUCAUCGACCGCUAUCCAGCAUGCAUCUAGAGUAUUAAGUUAAAAACAGAGUAACGCCGUAAGCAAGAUGACAUGAUGUAGAGGGAUAAAUUCAUGCAAUAUGAUAAAAACCCCAUCUUGUUAUCCUCGAUGGCAACAAUACAAUACGUGCCUUGCAACCCUUUCUGUCACUGGGUAAGGACACCGCAAGAUUGAACCCAAAGCUAAGCACUUAUCCCAUUGCAAGAACUACCAAUCUAGUUGGCCAAACCAAAAAGGAUAAUUCGAAGAGACUUGCACAGAUAACUCAAUCAUACAUAAAAGAAUUCAGAGAAGAAUCAAAUAUUUUCCAUAGAUAAUACUGGAUCAUAAACCCACAAUUCAUCGGUAUCAACAAACACACCGCAAAAAGAAAAUUACAUCGAAUAGAUCUCCACGAGAGAGGGGGAGAACAUUGUAUUGAGAUCCAAAAAGAGAGAAGAAGCCAUCUAGCUACUAGCUAUGGACCCGAAGGUCUGAAGUAAACUACUCACACUUCAUCGGAGGGGCUAUGGUGAUGAUGUAGAAGCCCUCCAUGGUGGAUGCCCCCUCUGGCGGAGCUCCAGAACAGGCCCCAAGAUGGGAUCUCGUGGAUACGGUAGGUUGCGGCGGUGGAAUUAGGUUUUUGGCUCCUGUUCUGAUCGUACGGGGAUACGUAGGUAUAUAUAGGAGGAAGGAGUACGUCGGUGGAGCGUCAGGGGGCCCACAAGGUAGGGGGGCGCGCCCAGGGGGGGUGCCCUCCACCCUUGUGACCGCCUCUGGCACUGCUUGGAGUAGGGUCCAAGUCUCCUGGAUCACGUUCGGUUGGAAAAUCACGUUCCCGAAGGUUUCAUUCCGUUUGGACUCCGUUUGAUAUUCCAUUUCUUCGAAACACUGAAAUAGGCAAAAAAACUGCAAUUCUGGGCUGGGCCUCCGGUUAAUAGGUUAGUCCCAAAAAUAAUAUAAAAGUGGAAAAUAAGGCCCAAUAUAGUCCAAAAUAGUAGAUAAAGUAGCAUGGAGCAAUCAAAAAUUAUAGAUACGUUGGAGACGUAUCAGUAUGUGACUCCUCCAAUGGUCCAACUAGUUUUUGUUCUAGUGCUUUAUUCAUUGCAAAUUUUUGCUGCCUAGGUGACCCUGUUAUUGAGCUUGCAUGUCAAAUUUAUGAGGUCCCAAGUAAUUCCAAUGUAUGAUACAGGCUCUAGGCACUUGUGGGAGUAGUUGCUAUCAAUCUUGUUGAGUUUGAUUCACUUUUAUUUUGAAGUUACUAAAAAUUUCAGAAAUUUUCAGAAAAUGAUGAGGAGAUUAUUGAGGGGCUCUUCUAGCCAAAGCUACAAGGUUAAAAAAGCUAAGGAGAAAGAAAAGGCCAAGUAUAAUCUUCCUCGUGUAGCAGAAGUACGGCCAUGUGAGUGGCCUUGUGAUAAUUUCUUGAGAGCAACCGAGAUUUAUGAAUAUUUUUAUUCUUUGGCUGAUAAUGUGGGCCUCACUGACUUCCUCCACGACCGGAUCGAACAAUAUCUCUUACUCACCAAUAUUUUCGUGCAAAACUUUUACUAUUAUCCUGAGAAUUCACCUCCUUCAGUAGCUUUUCAUUUAUAUGAUGAGGCUAAGGAAAUGUCAUUACGUAAUUUUUGUGCGGUUUGUAGAAUACCCUUCGAGGGCAUCUUAGAUGAACCACAUUGUAAAUAUGUGGAUGGUUUUAUUGACACUAUUACUGCAGGGGAAUCGAGUAAGGUUUCCGAUGCAAGAAUAACUAGCAUACAUUUUCCUGUUUUACGCUACUUUGCCAUAUUUGCUAGUCGAUGCUUAAUUGGUCGCGGAAACUGUGGAAACCUCAGUGUUUCUUAAAUUAUUAUUCUGUUCCAUGCCUUACUUUGUGAUAACUCUUUUAGUAUGGGUGCCGUUAUUGCUAAAGGAUUAAGCCUGAAUCGUACAAAGAGCCCCAUCUUUGGAGGUAUCUAUGCUGCACGCCUUGAUAAACAUUUCGAGAUACCUAUUAGGCAUUAUGAGAAAGAGGAGACACUGCUGCCUCUUACCUAUUUAGAUUACAGGAGCAUGGUAGUGCAUGAGUUUAUUGUUGACAAUGAUGAUAAGAUACUUCUGUAUAAACUGAGAUUUAAUAAGAAACACAAUGAGAGUAUUACCCUGCCUGCGCCUUCUUUGUUUGAUUUAACUACAAACCAUUACCUCGUCCUGCCGACUGAUACGUCUCCAUCGUAUCUAUAAUUUUUGAUUGUUCCAUGCCAAUAUUAUUUAACUUUUAUAUACUUUUGGCAACUUUUUAUACUAUUUUUGGGACUAACAUAUUAAUCCAGUGCCCAGUGCCAGUUCCUGUCUGUCGCAUGUUUUUUGUUUCGCAGAAACCCAAUAUCAAACGGAGUACAAACGGGAUAAAAACGGACGGAGAUUUUUUUUUAAAUAUUUAUGAUUUUUGGGAAGUAAAAUCAACACGAAACAGUAUCCGGGGUGGCCACGAGACAGGGGGCCGCGCCCUCCUCCCUGGGCGCGGCCUGGGCUCUCAUGGGCCACCCGUAAGGCGGUUGACGCUCUUCUUUUGACGCAAGAAAGCUAAUUUUAUGAGAAAGAUCUGAGCGAAAGAUUCACCCCAAUCGGAGUUACGGAUCUCCGGAUAUUUAAGAAACGGUGAAGGGGUAGAAUCUGAGAACGCAGAAACAGAGAGAUAGAUCCAAUCUCAGAGGGGCUCUCACCCCUCCCAAGCCAUGGGAGCCAAGGACCAGAGGGGAAACCCUUUUCCCAUCUAGGGAGGAGAUCAAGGAAGAAGAAGAAGAGGGGGGCCCUCUCCCCCUUGCUUCCGGUGGCGCCGGAGCGCUGCCGGGGGCCAUCAUCAUCACCGCGAUCUUCACCAACAACUUCACCGCCUUCAUCACCAACUCUUCCUCCCUCUAUGCAGCGGUGUAACCUCUCUCUUACCCGCUGUAAUCUCUACUUAAACAGGGUGCUCAACUCUAUAUAUUAUUCCUCAAUGAUGUAUGGCUAUCUUAUGAUGUUUGAGUAGAUCCGUUUUGUCCUAUGGGUUAAUUGAUGAUCAUGAUUGGUUUGAGUUGCAUGUUUUAUUAUUGGUGCUGUCCUAUUGUGCCCUCCGUGUCGCGCAAGCAUGAGGGAUUUCCGCUGUAGGAUUUGCAAUAUGUUUAUGAUUUGCUUAUGGUAGGUUGCGUGAGUGAUUGAAACACAAACCCGAGUAAGUAGGUUGUUUACGUAUGAGAUAAAAGGGGACUUGAUACUUUAAUGCUAUGGUUGGGUUUUACCUUAAUGAAUCUUUAGUAGUUGCGGACGCUUGCUAGAGUUCCAAUCAUAAGUUCAUAUGAUCCAAGUAGAGAAAGUAUGUUAGCUUAUGCCUCUCCCUAAAAUAGAAUUGCAACAAUGAUUACCGGUCUAGUUAUCGAUUGCCUUGGACAAAUAACUUUCUCGUAACAAAAAGCUCUCUACUAAUAUUUACUUUAUUGCAUCUUUAUCUAAACAGCCCCUAGUUUAUGUUUACGUGCUCUUUAUUAUCUUGCAAACCUAUCCUAUCACACCUACAAAGUACUCAUAGUUUCAUACUUAUUCUAGGUAAAGCGAACGUCAAGCGUGCGUAGAGUUGUAUCGGUGGUCAAUAGAACUUGAGGGAAUAUUUAUUCUACCUUUAGCUCCUCGUUGGGUUCGACACUCUUACUUAUCGAAAACUGUUGCGAUCCCAUAUACUUGCGGGUUAUCAAGACCUUUUUCUGGCGCCAUUGCCAGUGAGUCAUAGCGUGGGGUGAAUAUUCUCGUGUGUGCUUGUUUGCUUUAUCACUAAGUAAUUUUUAUUUGUUGUUCUUAGUUGUUCUCUAUCUUUAGUUAUGGAUAUGGAACGCAAAAUACCAAAAAAAUAGCUGUACUUGCUACUCAUGAAGAUGGGGUAACUCCUAAAACCCUCGAUUCUCAUUAUGCGAAAGAUAUUAUGUACUACUUUGAUAAUCCUGAGAAAGCCCCAUUCAACUUUAUAAUGGGAGACAAGUUGGAUCAACGUGAAUACUUUAGGGAUUAUCGCUUGACACAAAAAGGGAAACUAUUAUGGGAUCAAUUUAUUAUGUUGCGUUGGUAUGCCUAGAAUCUAUGCUUGAAUUAUGAUAUUACUUGUUGCUCUAGGAUGGAGGCUCCACACCUUCCCUUUUCAUGCAAAUUUAAUGAUAAUGAAACCUAAGCUUCUUAUGCUAAUGGUAUAUAUGAUUACUACGAUGUGGAACAAAUAGAAGAAUUUGUUGCUUUUAAGGCUGCUUAUGAAAUUGAAGCUUUGUUUGAAAAGUAUGAAGCUUUUGAUGAUGAUGGUUAUAGGCCUGAAAAUCUUGCUAUACUUAGAUAUUGCUAUGAAAAUUAUGAAUACAAUUACUAUAUUAAUGCUUUUAUGAAGAAAGUCUCCGCUGUCCAAGAAGAGACUAAUAUUUUGCAGGAAGCUAUGGAAGAAGAAAUUGAUGAAACAAUGAGCUCAUUGGAUGAAAAAGAUGAUGAGGAGAGCGAAGAACAAAAGGAGGAAGAGCAGAUUAGCUACCCGUGCCCACCUUCUAAUGAGAGUAACCCUCCAACUCAUACAUUAUUUAAUUCCCCUUCGUGCUUACCAAAAGAUGAUUGCUAUGGUGAUUUCUAUGAUCCCUUGAAUUUGUUUGAAAUAUCCCUUUUUGAUGAUGCUUGCUAUGCUUGUGUCCAAGAUGCCAAUAUGAAUUAUGCUUAUGGAGAUGAACUUGCUAUAGUUCCUUAUGUUAAACAUGAAAUUGUUGCUAUUGCACCCACGCAUGAUAGUCCUAUUAUCUUUUUGAAUUCUCCAAACUACACUAUAUCAGAGAAGUUUGUGCUUAUUAAGGAUUAUAUUGAUGGGUUGCCUUUUACCAUUGCACAUGAUGAUUUUGAUGAAUGUAAUAUGAUGUGCUUGCUGCUCCUACUUAGCAAUUAUUAUGAGAGAGGAACUAUUUCUCCACCUCUCUAUGUUUCCCAUACUAUGAAAUUGCAAGAAACUGCUUAUACUAUGCAUUGGCCUUUACUAUGUGUGCAUGAAUUGUUCUCUUAUGACAUGCCGAUGCAUAGGAAGAGAGUUAGACUUCGUUGUUGCAUGAUAUAUGUUACUUUGUGCUCACUACUAAAUUUCAAAUCAUUUUUAAUUAAAAUUGGCUUUGAUAUCCCUUGGGAUCCGGGUGGAUUCAUUACUUGAGCACUAUAUGCCUAGCUUAAUGGCUUUAAAGAAAGCGCUGCCAGGGAGAUAACCCGGAAAUUUUAGAGAGUCAUUUAUUUCUGUUGUGUGCUUUCAUAUAGUUUAAAAACAAAAAAAUAAAGAGGGGAACCUAAAAAAUUUUCAAAAAGGAAAGUGAAAGUGAGAAAGACAAGCAUUGUUGAAGUGGGAGCUAGCCUUGAACUUUGUUCAUGCUCACGGAAACUUUGUGAAUCUUGAUUACAGAAAAAUUUCAACAAAAAAAUUAUCCCCUUGUAUAAUUCCAUUUUAUUAUAAAAAUAAUGUGCUAAGGUUUGCCUUUAGGAUGUUUACAAUGCUUGUUGGUUUGUACGGUGCUGGACAGAAACUUUGGCUGUAGUGCGCGGUUUUACAUUUUUAACUGGAAUGUCAAAUGGUUUUGAUUCCUUUUGCACUCUCUUUCUGUACAACUUGUUUAUUUUUCCUAAUUUUGGUAGAAGUUUUAGGGUACCAGAAGUAUGGUGGAUGUUCAGAUUGCUACAGACUGUUCUGUUUUUGAAAGAUUCUGUUUUUGAUGCAUAGUUUGCUUGUUUUGAUGAAUCUAUCAAUUUAUAUUAGUGGAUUAAGCCAUGGAAAAGCUAUAUUACAGUCGACACAAUGCAAAAAAAAGAUAUGAAUUGGUUUUCUACAGUACUUAGAGUGGUGAUUUGCUUUGUUAUACUAAUGGAUCUUACCGAGUUUUCUGUUGAAGUUUUGUGUGGAUGAAGUGUCUAAUCGAGUAUGUCUCGAUAUGAGGAAAAGGAAGAGAGGCAAGAGCUCAAGCUUGGGGAUGCCCGAGGCACCCCAAGUAAAUAUUCAAGGAGACUCAAGCGUCUAAGCUUGGGGAUGCCCCGGAAGGCAUCCCCUCUUUCUUCAACAAGUAUCAGUAUGUUUUCGAAUUCGUUUCGUUCAUGCAUUAUGUGCGAGUCUUGGAGCGUCUUUUGCAUUCAGUUUUCAUUUUUAUUUUUUCUUUUAUGCACCAUGCUGGUAUGAGAUAGUCCUUGGUUGAUUUAUAGAAUGCUCAUUGCACUUCACUUAAAUCUUUUGAGUGUUGCUUUAUAGAAUGCUUCAUGUGCUUCACUUAUAUCAUUUGAAGUUGGAUUGUCUGUUUCUCUUCACAUAGAAAACCACCAUUUGUAGAAUGCUCUUUUGCUUCACUUAUAUUUGUUAGAGCGUGGGAAUAUCUUUUGUAAAAAGAAUUAAACUCUCUUGCUUCACUUAUAUCUAUUUAGAGAGAUGACAGGAAUUGGUCAUUCACAUGGUUAGUCAUAAAAUCCUAUAUAAACUUGUAGAUCGCUGAAUAUGAUAUGUUUGAUUCCUUGCAAUAGUUUUGCGAUAUAAAGAUGGUGAUAUUAGAGUUAUGCUAGUGGGUGACUAUGGAUUUUAGAGACACUUGUGUUGAGGUUUGUGAUUCCCGUAGCAUGCACGUAUGGUGAACCGCUUUGUGAUGAAGUUGGAGCACAAUUUUAUUUAUUGAUUGUCUUCCUUAUGAGUGGCGGCCGGGGACAAGCGAUGGUCUUUUCCUACCAAUCUAUCCCCCUAGGAGCAUACGCGUAGUACUUUGUUUUCAAUGGCUUGUAGAUUUUUGCAAUAAGUAUAUGAGUUCUUUAUGACUAAUGUUGAGUCCAUGGAUUAUACGCACUCUCACCCUUCCAUGAUUGCUAGCCUCUUCGGUACCAUGCAUUGCCCUUUCUCACCUCGAGAGUUGGUGCAAACUUUGCCGGUGCAUCCAAACCCCAUGAUACGAUACACUCUAGCACACAUAAGCCUCAUUAUAUCUUCCUCAAAACAGCCACCAUACCUACCUAUCAUGGCAUUUCCAUAGCCAUUCCGAGAUAUAUUGCCAUGUAACUUCCAUCAUCAUCAUAUACAUGACUUGAGCAUUCAUUGUCAUAUUGCUUUGCAUGAUCGUAAGAUAGCUAGCAUGAUGUUUUCAUGGCUUGUCCUUUUUUGAUGUCAUUGCUAUGCUAGAUCAUUGCACAUCCCGGUACACCACCGGAAGCAUUCAUAUAGAGUCAUAUCUUUGUUCUAGAUAUUGAGUUGUAAGUAAAUAAAAGUGUGAUGAUCAUCAUUAUUAGAGCAUUGCCCCAGUGAGGAAAUGAUGAUGGAGACUAUGAUUCCCCCACAAGUCGGGAUGAGACUCCGGACUUUAUGAAAAAUAAAAGAGGCCAAAGAAGCCCAAAAAAGAGGCCAAAGAAGCCCACCAAAAAGAAAAAAAUAAUAAAGAAAAAAAGAAAAAAAAAAAGAGAAAAAGAGAGAAGGGUCAAUGUUACUAUCCUUUUACCACACUUGUGCUUCAGAGUAGCACCAUGUUCUUCAUAGAGAGAGCCUCCUAUGCUUUCACUUUCAUACACUAGUGGGAAUUUUCAUUAUAGAACUUGGCUUGUAUAUUCCGAUGAUGGGCUUCCUCAAAUGCCCGAGGUCUUCAUGAGCAAGCAAGUUGGAUGCACACCCACUUAGUUUCAGUUUGAGCUUUCAUACACUUAUAGCUCUAGUGCAUCUGUUGCAUGACAAUCCCUACUCACUCACAUUGAUAUCUAUUGAUGGGCAUCUCCAUAGCCCGUUGAUAAGCCUAGUCGAUGUGAGACUUUCUCCUUUUUUGUCUUCUCCACAUAACCCCCACCAUCAUAUUCUAUUCCACCUAUAGUGCUAUGUCCAUGGCUCACGCUCAUGUAUUGCGUGAAAGUUGAAAAAGUUUGAGAUUAUUAAAGUAUGAAACAAUUGCUUGUCUUGUCAUUGGGGUUGUGCAUGAUUAAAUACUUUGUGUGAUGAAGAUCGAGCAACAGCCAGGCUAUAUGAUUUUGUAGGGAUAACUUUCUUUGGCCUUAUUGUUUUGAAAAGACAUUAUUGCUUUAUUGGCACGCUCGAAGUAUUAUUGUUUUUAUGUCAAAUGAUAGACUAUUGCUUGAAUCACUCAUGUCUUAAUAUUCAUGCCAUGAUUAGACAUAUGAUCAAGAUUAUGCUAGUAGCAUUCCACAUUAAAAAUUAUCUUUUUUAUCAUUUACCUACUCGAGGACGAGCAGGAAUUAAGCUUGGGGAUGCUGAUACGUCUCUGUCGUAUCUAUAAUUUUUGAUUGUUCCAUGCCAAUAUUAUUCAACUUCUAUAUACUUUUGGCAACUUUUUAUACUAUGUUUUGGGACUAACAUAUUGAUCCAGUGCCCAGUGCCAGUUCCUGUCUGUUGCAUUAUUUUCGUUUUGUAGAAACCCAAUAUCAAAUGGAGUCCAAACGGGAUAAAAACGUACGGAGAUUUUUUUUUGGAAUAUUUAUGAUUUUUGGGAAGUAAAAUCAAUGUGAAACAGUGUCCGGGGUGGCCACGAGACAGGGGGCCGCGCCCUCCUCCCUGGGCACGGCCUGGGCUCUCGUGGGCCACCCGUAAGGCGGUUGACGCUCUUCUUUUGGCGCAAGAAAGCUAAUUUUAUGAGAAAGAUCUGGGCGAAAGAUUCACCCCAAUCGGAGUUACGGAUCUCCGGAUAUUUAAAAAACGGUGAAGGGGUAGAAUUUGAGAACGCAAAAACAGAGAGAUAGAUCCAAUCUCGGAGGGGCUCUCGCCCCUCCCAAGCCAUGGGAGACAAGGACCAGAGGGGAAACCCUUCUCCCAUCUAGGGAGGAGGUCAAGGAAGAAGAAGAAGAAGAAGAAGGGGGCCCCUCUCCCCCUUGCUUCUGGUGGCGCCGGAGCGCUGCCGGGGGCCAUCAUCACCGCGAUCUUCACCAACAACUUCACCGCCUUCAUCACCAACUCUUCCUCCCUCUAUACAGCGGUGUAACCUCUCUCUUACCCGUUGUAAUCUCUACUUAAACAUGGUGCUCAACGCUAUAUAUUAUUCCCCAAUGAUGUAUGGCUAUCUUAUGAUGUUUGAGUAGAUUUGUUUUGUCCUAUGGGUUAAUUGAUGACCGUGAUUGGUUUGAGUUGCAUGUUUUAUUAUUGGUGCUGUCCUAUUGUGCCCUUCGUGUCGCGCAAGCAUGAGGGAUUCCCCCUGUAGGGUUUGCAAUAUGUUUAUGAUUUGCUUAUGGUGGGUUGCGUGAGUGACUGAAACACAAACCCGAGUAAGUAGGUUGUUUGCGUAUGGGAUAAAAGGGUACUUGAUACUUUAAUGCUAUGGUUGGGUUUUACCUUAAUGAAUCUUUAGUAGUUGAGGACACUUGCUAGAGUUCCAAUCAUAAGUUCAUAUGAUCCAAGUAGAGAAAGUAUGUUAGCUUAUGCCUCUCCCUCAAAUAGAAUUGCAACAACGAUUACCGGUCUAGUUAUCGAUUGCCUUGGACAAAUAACUUUCUCGUAACAAAAAGCUCUCUACUAGUAUUUACUUUAUUGCAUCUUUAUCUAAACAGCCCCUAGUUUAUGUUUACGUGCUCUUUAUUAUCUUGCAAACCUAUCCUAUCACACCUACAAAGUACUUCUAGUUUCAUACUUGUUCUAGGUAAAGCGAACGUCAAGCGUGCAUAGAGUUGUAUCAGUGGUCGAUAGAACUUGAGGGAAUAUUUAUUCUACCUUUAGCUCCUCGUUGGGUUCGACACUCUUACUUAUCGAAAACUGUUGCGAUCCCGUAUACUUGCGGGUUAUCACCGACGGCUGUGUACGCGCACCGAGGCUAGACAUCAGCUCCAGAGCCUGAGCCGGAACCACCACUGGACCCUUAUCGUCCGUCAUCUUAUCAGUGGGAUCCGGAGGAGAUCGCCAGCCAGUUGUAUCCUGAUGACACUCCUCGGUACACCGGGGAGAGUAGCCGCUAUCCAUGGCAAUAGACCAACUUAGGCCAAAAGCCUAAGUUUGAGGGAGUACGUAUUUCUCACCGACAUUACAUUCAUGUUCACACACUUAUUCUAGUUGUCGGUGUUCAUACUUUUUCAUUGUACUAUCCAUGCUAGUUUAAAUUUGUUUUCUAGCUUUCUUCUUGUGUGUUUGAUAAACCUUUUGAAAACAAAAAAAUAUUUUUAGUUUAAUUUCCAUGCUUGUAGUAGUAAUUAAAAAGAAAACUCAAAAAUAUUUCUCGUUCUUCUUUUUCAUGUUGGGAGCUUUCCCGUGUAAAUAGUUUUAGUUUAUUUUCUUUCCUUUGGGGGUCGAGAGGAGAAGACCAUAAUGAAAAUGAUUAGUGGCUCUCAUAUGCAUGAUUGUUGAUUUAACUUAGAGCCCAUAUUACCUUGUCUUCUCCCUUGAAUUGAAUGCUUGCAGAUUCUAACUUAGUCCAAUGCACAUGCACUAUUAUUAUUAUCCACACCGUUCGGUCGUGCAAGUGAAAGGCAAUAAUGACGAUAUAUGAUGGACUGAUUGAGAUAAGAGAAGCUGGUAUGAACUCGACCUCUCUUGUUUUUGUAAAUAUGAUGAGUUCAUCGUUCCUGAUUCAGCCUAUUACGAAUAAACAUGUUUGCAAUGACAAUUAGAGAUUAUAGCUGCUUAUGCCAUGCUUAAUUAGCUAGGAGCUUAUAAUGGUUUACCUUGCAUGCCAACAUGCUAUUAAAAAUGGUUGUGAUGUGGUAUGAUAGGGUGGUAUCCUCCUUUGAAUGAUUCGAGUGACUUGACUUGGCACAUGUUCACGCACGUAGUUGAAACAAAAUCAACAUAGCCUUCACGAUAUUUAUGUUCAUGGUGGAUUAUAUCCUACUCAUGCUUGCACUCGGUGUUGAUUAAUUUUAAUGCAUGUUCAUCACUGUUGUCGCUCUCUCAGUUGGUCGCUUCCCAGUCUUUUGCUAGCCUUCACCUGUAAUAAGCGAGAAUACUGCUUGUGCAUCCAAACUCCAUAAACCCCAAAGUUGUUCCAUAUGAGUCCACCAUACCUUCCUAUAUGCGAUAUUUACCCGUUCCAAGCAAAUUUAUAUGUGCCAACCUCCAAACCUUCAAAUGAAAAUCUGUUUUGUAUACUCGAGCAGCUCAUGUUUCAACUAGGUCUGUCAGUAUAUUCCAUACUAGGUGGGUUAUUCUCAAGAGGAGUGGACUCCGCUCCUCAUUCAUGAGAAAAUGGCUGGUAACCGGGAUGCCCAGUCCCAUGAUCAAAAAGAUCAAAGAAAAUCAAAAUAAUUAAACAAAACUCCCCCAGGGUUGUUGCUAGUUGGAGGCACCCGUUAUUUCGGGCAAGCCAUGGAUUGAUGCUUGUUGGUAGUUGGGGAGUAUAAACUUUACCAUUCUGUUUGGGAACCGCCUAUAAUGUGUGUAGCAUGGAAGAUAUCGAGAUCUCAUAGUUGUUAUGUUGACAGUGAAAGUAUACCGCUCAAAAUGUUAUUCCUCUCUAUUUUAAAAUCGAGCUCUGGCACCUCUACAAAUCUCUGCUUCCCUCUGCGAAGGGCCUAUCUAUUUAUUUUUAUGUUGAGUCAUCGCCCUCUUAUUAAAAAGCACCCGCUGGAGAGCACCGCUGUCAUUUGCAUGCAUUACUAUUAAUUUAUAUUGGGUAUGACUUGACUGGAUUUCUUUUAACAUGAAUUACAAUGUUUAGUCAGUCCUUGAUCUUUAAAGGUGCUCUGCAUUUAUGUUUUGCGGUCUCAAAAAGGGCUAGUGAGAUAUCAUCUUGUUAUAUCAUAUUAUGAUUGUUUUGAGAAAGUGUUGUCAUCCGAGUUUUAUUAUUAUUGCUCGCUAGUUGAUUAUGUCAUUGAUAUGAGUAAACAUGAGACCUAAGUGUUAUUGUUAAUAUGGUUAGUUCAAAAUCUUUGCUGAAAACUUGAAUGCUGGAUCUAUAUAUUUACAACAACAAGAGCAACCAGAGUUUGUAAAAGUUUUUCUUUAUCACUUUCAGUUUAUCAACUGAAUUGUUUGAUAACAAGCAAAUGUUUAAGCUUGGGGGAGUUGAUACGUCUUCAACGUAUCUACUUUUCCAAACACUUUUGCCCUUGUUUUGGACUCUAACUUGCAUGGUUUGAAUGGAACUAACCCGGACGACGUUGUUUUCAGUAGAACUGCCAUGGUGUUAUUUUUGUGCAGAAACAAAAGUUUUCGGAAUGACCUGAAAAUCCACGGAGAUUACUUUUGGAAAAUAUAAAAAAUACUGGCGAAAGAAUCAAGGCGGGGGGGGACACACCCUCUCCAUGAGGGUGGGGGCGCGCCCCCUGCCUCGUGAGCCCCCUGGAUGUCCACCGACCUCAACUCCAACUCUAUAUAUUUGCUUUCACAGAGAAAAAAACAGAGAGAAAGUUCCAUCGCGUUUUACGAUAUGGAGCCGCCGCCAAGCCCUAAUCUCUCUCGGGAGGGCUGAUCUGGAGUCCGUUCGGGGCUUCGGAGAGGGGGAUUCGUCACCGUCAUCAUCAUCAACCAUCCUCCAUCACCAAUUUCAUGAUGCUCAUCGCCGUGCGUGAGUAAUUCCAUCGUAGGCUUGCUGGACGGUGAUAGGUUGGAUGAGAUUUACCAUGUAAUCGGGUUAGUUUUGUUAGGGUUUGAGCCCUAGUAUCCACUAUGUUCUGAGAUUGAUGUUGCUAUGAAUUUGCUAUGCUUAAUGCUUGUCAUUAGGGCCCAAGUGCCAUAAUUUUAGAUCUGAACCUAUUAUGUUUUCAUGAAUAUACGUGAGUUCUUAAUUCUAUCUUGCAAGUCUAUAGUCACCUAUUAUGUGUUAUGAUCCGACAACCCCGAAGUGACAAUAAUCGGGAUACUUCUCGGUGAUGACCGUAGUUUGAGGAGUUCAUGUAUUCACUAUGUGUUAAUGCUUUGGUCCGGUACUCUAUUAAAAGGAGGCCUUAAUAUCCCUUAGUUUCCAUUAGGACCCCGCUGCCACGGGAGGGUAGGACAAAAGAUGUCAUGCAAGUUCUUUUCCAUAAGCACGUAUGACUAUAUUCGGAAUACAUGCCUACAUUACAUUGAUGAACUGGAGUUAGUUCUGUGUCACCCUAUGUUAUAACUAUUACAUGAGGAAUCACAUCCGACAUAAUUAUCCAUCACUGAUCCAAUGCCUACGAGCUUUUCACAUAAUGUGCUUUGCUUAUUUACUUCUCCGUUGCUACUGUUACAAUUACUACAAAACUGCUACCGUUACUUUUGCCACUGUUACCAUUACUAUCAUACUACUUUGCUCUAAAUACUUUGUUGUAGAUACUAAGUUAUCCAGGUAUGGUUGAAUUGACAACUCAACUGCUAAUACUUGAGAAUAUUAUUUGACUCCCCUUGUGUCGAAUCGAUAAAUUUGGGUUGAAUACUCUAUCCUCGAAAACUGUUGCGAUCCCCUAUACUUGUGGGUUAUCACCUUCCAUGCUAUAUUAUCGCUUCUAAAUGUCAGUUUUUAUAUUUUAGCCAUACACACCUUUUUCAUAGUAAUUCAUGAAACAUACCUUUGCUUCUAUGCAUCCAAGUUCCAACCAAACAUGUCACUGUUUCAAAUGAAAUUGUGUUGUACUUCAAGCCCUUAUAAGGUGAUUUGGUUACUAUUUUGGCGAGCUUAUAUAUGCAAUUUUUUCUGGUGUAGAUAAUGGAUUUCUCGUUCUAUUCCUAGUGGAGGCUAUUUUUGGCAAAUGCGACAACUAAGGCGGAGGUGAUGGAUGCGUCUUCCGGACAUCAUCGGAGCCUACAAUGGGGAAGAGGGUGACGACACCCAAAUGGAAGUUGAGGGAGAGAUGUUGUUGCUAGAACAUGUUUAUGCACACUAUGAAUUGUAGUUUCUAUUUUUUGGAAACAUGUGUAAUCGAAUGGAAAACUAGCAUUGAAUGUUGGCCGGAAACAAAUA